UAGGGAAUCUUCCGCAAUGGACGAAAGUCUGACGGAGCAACGCCGCGUGAGUGAAGAAGGAUUUCGGUUCGUAAAACUCUGUUGUUAGGGAAGAAAAAAUGUAUAGUAACUAUAUACAAAAGAGACGGUACCUAACCAGAAAGCCACGGCUAACUACGUGCCAGCAGCCGCGGUAAUACGUAGGUGGCAAGCGUUGUCCGGAAUUAUUGGGCGUAAAGCGCGCGCAGGUGGUUUAGAAAGUCUGAUGUGAAAGCCCACGGCUCAACCGUGGAGGGUCAUUGGAAACUAAUAAACUUGAGUGCAGGAGAGAAAAGUGGAAUUCCUAGUGUAGCGGUGAAAUGCGUAGAGAUUAGGAGGAACACCGGUUGCGAAAGCGGCUUUUUGGCCUGCAACUGACACUGAGGCGCGAAAGCGUGGGGAGCAAACAGG
rnacentral:rRNA from 1 species